ensembl:lncRNA
CCGGCCUGGGAACUUCCACAUGGCACAGGUGUGCCAGAAAGAAAGAAAGAAAGAAGGAAAGAAAGAAAGAAAUAGAGGGGAGGGAGGAAGGAAGGAAGAAAAAAAGAGAAAGGGAGAAAGAAAGAAAUCAAGAUAAAGGGUCUCCUUGUGGAAGGGGACAAGGGAGGGGGUGGGGGGGCGGCUUCUCAGGGACUGGUCACUUUAUCUGGGUGCUGGAUACAGGUGAGUAUUCUUUUGCGGAUAUUCAUCGAGCUGAACACUUGUGAUUUGUGCACUUCUCGGUAUACGUGUUAUAUUUCCAUUCUUAAAGUUUUUAGAAAUUGGGAGGUUCGUCAUCCGUCCUUCCGUCAGUGCGCACGGACUACAUGCUCAGCACCGCCAGGUGCUGGGAUUUUGCAGUGACUCUGAGCCUCCCCGCCUCCUGUUCCUUCCUCGUGAUUGGCUGCUCGUCCGGCCAAUGGCGGACGAGUUUACUUCGCUCAGACAGCCCCGCAGCAUCAGCUAGCUGCAGCUUCCUCAGCUCGGUUUGCAGGCGGCGCUGUGAGCUCACCAACUCCUUGGUCAAGCUCAGACGUGGCUCCCACCCUUUCUCUGAUUCCGAUUCUGAGGAAUGGAAAGAAUAUGCCCCAGCACUUCCACCCUUUGCAAAACUCUUUUGUGGAUUUUUUCCGCUGCGCAUCUCUCCGAUGCAGGUCUGGAUCCCCAUGUCCCACCUCAUACCUACUGCAGCUCCAAGGUGCUGCCAGUUCAAAAAUUUUCCAAGGUUGGAAGGCCCUAGAACACUGCAUUGGAGUUAUAAACACAUAUGAAUUUAAGGUAGGGGAAUCUGUUGUCCCUUAUCCCCAGUAUUUAUGGUGUUCUAAAGUGAUGGAUCUCAAAAUCACUUACAAGCCAAGGUUUGUAGUGGCAGCCUAAAGAAAUUCUGGCUGGGAGUUCCCAUGGCUCAGAGGUCAACGAAUCUGACUAGCAUCCGCGAGGACAAAGGUUUGUGCCCUGGCCUUGCUCAGUGGGUUAAGGAUCCAACAUUGCCCUGAGCUGUGGUGUAUGUCAACAGAUGAGGCUCAGAUCCUGCGUUGCUGUGACUGUGGUGUAGACCAGUAGCUGCAGCUCCAACUCAACCCCUAGCCUGGGAACCUCCAUAAAAAGCAAAAAAAAAAAAAAGGAAAAGAAAAAGAAAAUUUGGCCCAUGUACUGGAUUUGUUUAGGCCAUAGUGCUAAAAACAAACCUUAAUAUAUAAAAAUCAAACUUCAUGCAUUAAAAGUGUAAAAAAAAAAAAGUCAAAGGAACUGACCCUUAUCGGUAAUCAGAAAACCUUUAUUUAAUGGGAUGCUUUAAAUUUUUUUUCUUCUUAUGGUCACACCUAUGCAUAUGGAAGUUCCCAGGCUAGGGAUCCAAUCAGGACUACAGCUGCUGGCCUUUGCCACAGGCACAGCAACAUGGGAUCCAAAAUUCAUCUGCAACCUACAGCUCAGCUCACAGGCAAUGCCAGAUCCUUAACCCACUGUGUGGGGUCAGGGAUUGAAUUUGCAUCCUCAAGGAUACUAGCCAGGUUCGUUCUCGCUGAGCCACAAAGGGAACUCCCUGGGCUGCUUUAAAACUUGGGUACAUCUAACGCAACACUAUAAAUCAAGUACACUUCAACUAAAGAAAAAGGGCAGUGAGAUGUAACCUCAAAAAAAUGGAGUUCCCAUCGUGGUGCAGUGGUUAAUGAAUCCAACUAGGAACCAUGAGGUGGCGGAUUCAAUCCCUGGCCUUGCUCAGUGGGUUAAGGAUCCGGCGUUGCUGUGAGCUGUGGUGUAGGUUGCAGA